rnacentral:rRNA from 1 species
AUGGCUCAGGAUGAACGCUGGCGGCGUGCUUGACACAUGCAAGUUGAACGAAGGUACUGGAGGAGGCUUCGGCGGAAUCCGGUAUACUUAGUAGCGGACGGGUGAGUAACGCGUGGGCAACCUGCCCUGUACAGGGGGACAACAGUUGGAAACGGCUGCUAAUACCGCAUAAGCGCACAGCACCGCAUGGUGCCGUGUGAAAAGCGCAACGGUACAGGAUGGGCCCGCGUCUGAUUAGGCAGUUGGCGGGGUAACGGCCCACCAAACCGACGAUCAGUAGCCGACCUGAGAGGGUGACCGGCCACAUUGGGACUGAGACACGGCCCAAACUCCUGCGGGAGGCAGCAGUGGGGAAUAUUGCACAAUGGAGGAAACUCUGAUGCAAGCGACGCCGCGUGAGUGAAGAAGUAUUUCGGUAUGUAAAGCUCUAUCAGCAGGGAAGAAAAUGACGGUACCUGCACAAGAAGCCCCGGCUAACUACGUGCCAGCCGCAGC